rnacentral:misc_RNA from 1 species
UUUCCGUAGGUGAACCUGCGGAAGGAUCAUCCAUAAUAAAGUGUUUUAUGGCACUUUUUAAAAAUCCACAUCCACCUUGUGUGCAAUGUUAGAUCUCGUCAAUCUUGGCGAGAUUUUUAUACAUCAACUCAUUCUUUAACUAAUUUGUCUGAAAAAUAUUAUGAAUACUUAAUUCAAAAUACAACUUUCAACAACGGAUCUCUUGGCUCUC